CGUGUAGGCGGGGAUGCAAGUCAGAUGUGAAAUUCCAUGGCUUAACUGUGGGACUGCAUCUGAAACUGUGUUUCUUGAGUGCCGGAGAGGGAAGCGGAAUUCCAAGUGUAGCGGUGAAAUGCGUAGAUAUUUGGAGGAACACCAGUGGCGAAGGCGGCUUUCUGGACGGUAACUGACGCUGAGGCGCGAAAGCGUGGGGAGCAAACAGGAUUAGAUACCCUGGUAGUCCACGCUGUAAACGAUGGAUACUAGGUGUAGGGGGUAUCGACCCCCCCCUGUGCCGGAGUUAACACAAUAAGUAUCCCACCUGGGGAGUACGGCCGCAAGGUUGAA
rnacentral:rRNA from 1 species